CUUGGCCUCGGGCCCGCCCGCCCCGUCCCCGGCUUGGCCUCGUUUAUUCCCAAACCUGUUGUUCGAUGGCGUGUAGGCUGAGCCUCAGCUGUACUAGCCUACCCGCCAUCGAGGACAUAUAGACAGAAAACGGCCGGCAACUUCAUGAAGGAUCUCAUCCACCCUGCUCACGGACUGUUUGUCUCACUUCCAUCGGGGAGGAGGCUACUUAGCAUCCACACCAGGCCCCCAGACUCAAAAGCAGAUGCUUUUCCCAUGCGUCUAUCACAGAUCCACGCGUCGCUCGCCUUCCCCGACUCUGGACGUUGCAAACGCUCGGCUCGCACGGACACUCCACCUUGGUCACAUGGACGCGCUGGAACAAGUCAGUUAAAAGCAACAGGCCGCUCCCUCUCCCCGCUGAACCGUGAGCUAAUGAUUUAAGGGGUGGUCGCCGUUUGUCCAGACUCACUGUGAGGCAAUUAAAUAAAUUUUCAGCGACAGCAGGAACAAGUUUUCCAAAGAAAAAUCCCUGAAUUGCCUCACAACUGGUUACCGGCAUCGCCGGCAGUUUCCUCAUUCCUGCAUUGCAACUUUUCACGCUCUAUUUUUAGCUGUACCCAGGCCGAUUCACGCUUCCUCCAUGUCGUUACUCAAGUUGAGUAAGAAGUUUACGUCCCGGGAAACUCUGGAGGCAGAACCGGGAUCCACACGCCGAAUAACGAUCAUUAAACUAAUGAAUACCCUGCCAGCAUCGAGGUCUCGUCAAGCAUUGCAGCAGGCAUUUUGAAGUAUAUUUUAUUAAGUAAUUUGUUAUAAUAUUUUAUUUUAUGUGCCGUGAGUGAUAUGUAUUAUGGGUACAUCGUGGUUCGCAGGAUCGUUGUUUCAUUUGGUUGUGUAUAUGUACAGUCAGAUUACAAUAAACUUGGGCUUGAACUCGCA